CGCCUGGAACGGUGAGUGGAUGAAAGCUCCGGCGGCAUAGGAUGGGCCUGCGGCGUAUCAGGUUGUAGGGGGUGUAACGUACCCUCUAGCCCUCUACGCGUACGGGUGUUGGGAGACAUAGCCCGGAGAUGGAUUCUGAGACACGAAUCCAGACCCUACGGGGUGCAGCAGGCGCGAAAACUUGGCAAUGCGAGAAAUCGUGACCAGGGAACUCCAAGUGCAUCGGGUAAGACCGGUGCUUUUCUUGACUCUAAAUAGGUCUUGGAAUAAGGGGUGGGUAAGGACGGUGCCAGCCGCCGCGGUAAUACCGGCGCCUCAAGUGGUAGUCGCUUUUAUUGGGCCUAAAACGUCCGUAGCCGGUCUGAUACAUUCGUGGGUAAAUCAACCAGCUCAACUGGUUGAAUUCUGCGAGGACGGUCAGACUUGGGACCGGGAGAGGUGUGGGGUACGCUCAGGGUAGGGGUAAAAUCCUGUCAUCCUGAGCGGACCACCUGUUGCGAAGGCGCCACACUAGAACGGAUCCGACGGUCAGGGACGAAGCCUAGGGGCACGAACCGGAUUAGAUACCCGGGUAGUCCUAGGUGUAAACGCUGUGGACUUGAUGUUGGGGGUGCUCCGAGCACUCUCAGUGUCGAAGCGAAGGUGAUAAGUCCACUGCCUGGGAAGUACGGUCGCAAGGCUGAAACUUAAAGGAAUUGGCGGGGGAGCACCGCAACCUGAGGAUUGUGCGGUUUAAUUGGACUCAACGCC
rnacentral:rRNA from 1 species